GGCUCGUUGGUCUAGGGGUAUGAAUCCUGCUUCGGGUGCAGGAGGUCCCGGGUUCAAAUCCCAGACGAGCCC
rnacentral:tRNA from 1 species